AAGAGGUAGUCUGGGUGUAUGUGGACUGCUUGUGCGGGUGGCAGUAUCAUAGCGAGCAGGCAUUUGAUGACCUGUGGUAGCUCUGCAUCUGUUAUUUCCUCCGGGAGCCCCCUAACUUUCAGGUUUUUAUGCCGUCUGGCGUCUUCGUGCUCGGCCAUGCGGUAUUCGUGGGAACGUUGCUGUAGCUGCAGAUCCUGCACAGUACGUUUGAGUUCCC